GAUGUCGGGGACGCGCAGGGGCGCGCGCGCGGCGGUGAGGACGCGCUUCUUUGGUCGCGCGCGCCGGAACGCGGACUGUGAGUGGAAACCGAAGACGCACGAGGGAGGAACGCGUCGAGCAUGAAGAGACAGGGGGCCUCCUCCGAGCGGAAACGGGCGCGGAUACCGUCCGGGAAGGCCGGAGCAGCAAAUGGAUUUCUCAUGGAAGUGUGUGUUGAUUCAGUGGAGUCAGCUGUAAAUGCAGAAAGAGGAGGUGCUGGUCGGAUUGAAUUAUGUUCUGGCUUAUUGGAAGGAGGAACCACACCCAGCAUGGGUGUCCUUCAAGUAGUGAAGCAAUGUGUCCAGAUCCCAGUUUUUGUGAUGAUUCGGCCACGUGGAGGUGAUUUUUUAUAUUCGGAUCGUGAAGUUGAGGUGAUGAAGGCUGACAUUCGUCUUGCCAAACUUUAUGGUGCUGAUGGUUUGGUAUUUGGGGCAUUGACUGAAGAUGGACACAUUGACAAAGAGCUGUGCAUGUCCCUUGUGGCGAUUUGCCGUCCUCUGCCCGUCACUUUCCACCGAGCCUUUGACAUGGUUCAUGAUCCAAUGGCAGCUCUAGAGACCCUCUUAACUUUGGGAUUUGAACGAGUAUUGACCAGUGGAUGUGACAGUUCAGCACUAGAAGGGUUACCCCUAAUAAAGCGACUCAUAGAUCAGGCAAAAGGCAGGAUUGUGGUAAUGCCAGGCGGUGGCAUAACAGAAAGAAAUCUGCAAAGGAUCCUUGAGGGAUCAGGUGCUACAGAAUUCCACUGUUCUGCUCGGUCUGCUAGAGAUUCAGGAAUGAAGUUUCGAAACUCCUCUGUUGCCAUGGGAGCCUCUCUUUCUAGCUCAGAAUAUUCUCUAAAGGUAACAGAUGUGACCCAAGUAAGAACUUUGAAUGCUAUUGCAAAGAAUAUUCUGGUUUAGCCACCUCUCUGAGAGACAUGGAUAUCACAGGAUAAAGGUAGAAGAGUAGUCUACAAUUCUCUAUGACACAGCUUUAACCUUCUUCUCUGGCCAGGGCAGUCACAAUCUUUGUUUUAAGUCUCACAUGGCCAUGGAGAAUGUUUCCAAGAAGAAAAAGAACUUGAAACAGAGCUACAGUCACUUCCUUUGCUUAAUCUUGCCAGCCGUCUCUCCAUCAUCAUGGUUAAAUCUUGUCUAUGUGUCUUCCACAGAUAGAGGCUUAAUCUGUUUUAGUGGAAUUAAUUGAUGAACUGGGAAAAUUCAGCUGCAAGAAAUUGACAAGAUGACCCUCAAGUUCAUCUGGAAAUGCACGAGACCGAGAAUAGCCAAACAGUCUUGAAAAAGAGCAAAAUUGGACUCACAUUUCUCAAUUUCAAAACUUACUACAAAGCUACAGUAAUCAAGACAAUGUGGUACUGGCAUAAAGAUGAAUAUAUAUAGCAAUAUAUUCAACUGCAUAUGAAUAUAUAUGCAAUUCUCAAUGCAAUAGAAUUGAGGGUCCAGAAAUAAACCCUUAUAUUAUAGUCAGUUGAUUCUUGACAAGGGUGCUAAGAUAAUUCACUGGGAAAAGAGUAGUUUUUUAAUAAAUGGUGCUGGACAACUGGAUAUCCACAUGUGAAAGAAUGAAGUUGGACCUUACAUCAUGUACAAAAAUUAAAUGGAUCAUAGACCUAAAUAAAACUAAAACAUAAAACUCUUAGAAGAAAAUAGGAGUAAAUCUUCAUGACCUUGGGUUAGGCAAAGCCUCAGGUAUGACACCAAAAGCACAAGUGACAAAAGAAAAAAUGGGUAAAUUAGACUUUGUCAAAAUUGAAUACCUAUGCUUCAAAGGAUAACAUCAAGAAAGUGAAAAGACAACCCACAGAAUGGGAGAAAAUAUUUGCAAAUCGUAUGUCUGAUUAGGAAGCUUGUAUCCAGAAUAUAUAAAAGGAAUACUUAGAACUCAACAAUAACAAGACAACCCAGUUUUAAAAUGGGCAAAGGAUUUGAGUAGACAUUUCUCCAAAGAAGGUAUACAGUUGGCCAACAGCACAUGAAAAGAUGCUCAGUAACAUUAGUCAUUAGGGAAAUGCAAAUCAAAACUCCACUGAGAUACCACUUCAUAUCCACUAAGAUGACUAUAACCCAAAAGACUGACCAUACUGAGUGUUGGCAAGGAUGUGGAGCAAGCAAAACUUUCAUAUACCGCUAGUGGGAAUGUAAAAUGGUGGAGUUGCUUUGUAAAAUAGUCUGGGAGUUUCUCAAAUGUCAAACACAGAGUUGCUAUAUGAUCAAGCAAUUCCACUCCUAGGUAUAUACCCAAGAGAACUGAAAAUAUGUGUCCACACAAAAACUUAUACACCAAUGUUUGUAGCAACAUUAUUUAUCUUUUAGAAUUAGAGAAUAAACUUUUUGCAACCCCUAAUGAAAUAAAUCAGUCAAAGAUCAUUAAUGCUAAAACCAUUAGAUAACAGAUUGAUUGGGAGCUGAGUAUCCACAUGGUGCCAAAGCAUCAUCCUGUAGGUUAUUCACUAAUCAUUAAUGUGGAAAUUUGAUGUUAUAAUGCAGCCAUCUGGUUGUUACCACCUUAACCCAGUAAUCAAUAUUACUAGCAGUGGAAGCGUAUACUGCUGAAGGACAGGAUAUGAGAGGGGAAGAGGUCAGCCAGAGGCCGUAACCGUGUUAGGAAAUUGCAAUUUGGAGGUUGCUAAUGUGCCUCGAGGAAGAGCUAGGAGUUGAUUUUUUUUUUUUUUUUUUUGGUGAGGAAGAUCAGCCCUGAGUUAACAUCCAUGCCAAUCCUCCUCUUUUUGCUGAGGAAGACUGGCCCUGGGCUAACAUCUGUGCUGAUCUUCAUCCACUUUAUAUGGGACGCCGCCACAGCAUGGCCUGACAAAUGGUGCAUUGGUGCGUGCCCGGGAUCCGAACCCGGGCCGCCAGCAGUGGAGCGCGCGCACUUAACUGCUACGCCAUGGGGCCGGCCCCUAGAGCUAGGAGUUGAAAUACCUGGAAAGCUGCUGUAACGAAGUGUGAUGGUUGGCUAUUGAUCAAGCAAGAGUAAACUACAAACAACACCAGCUCAUAGGGUGACCAACCAUCCCAGUUUGCUUAAAACUUUUCCAAUUUUAGCAUUGAAAGUCCCAUAUCCUAGGAAAGUCCUCAGUGCCUGGCAAACUGGGAAAAUUUGGUCAUCCUACCAGCUCAGUAAAAUUAGCUUUGCCUCUUUUCCUCUGGUCCUCAACUCCCUGCCCCUAUCCUGGAAUUGGGGGAGGGGAGAGAUGUUGAGUAACAAGAAAAAAUGAUAUAAGCAAUGACACUUCCCUCCCCAGCGGUAGUGGUCCAUGAGCCAAGAAAGGGGAGGGGCUUUAAAUUGGAUGUAAGUUUCUUUUGUGGAUGAUGAAAAUGUUCCAAAAUUUAUUGUAGUGAUGGUUGCACAACUCUGAAUAUGCUAAAAACCAUUGGAUGGUACACUUUAAGUGGGUGAAUUUUAUGUAAUUUAUGUCUCAAUAAAGCUGUUUUUUGUAAAAAAAAUUAAUGUGAGAGAGUUUUAUAUUAAAUUAGAUUAGGCUGGACCUUUUAAUACCUGAAAGAGACCAAAAGGCUAUAGAAUCUGCUUGAGAUGUGGUAAGGGCAAGGAAGGGAGUUUGAUAUAGCAUGGUUGAAGACAAUAGUAGAAGCAAAGUAUUUUUUAUUUGUUUUCUAUUUAGAUUACUUCUCUCAAUAAGUUGGCUACACUAGUUUGAAUGGAUUUUUGUUCCUUGCAACCAAGAGUUGUGACUAAGACACCUGAAGAAUAUUCAUUCCAUCUUUCAUGUACAGAUACUAAAUACUAAUCCUCGGGUAAAAUCACAAAUAGUUGUAUGUUUCGAUUUCAUUGCUCUGUUCCCUCAUAGAAUUAAAAAAAAAAUCAAACCGUGCUGGCAUUUUGCCACUGGUCUAUAUUGGAGAUGUAAUAGAAAACAGUUGUAUUCAAUAUUUAUAUCAGUGUAUUAUUGAGGUCCUAGAAGAGACUUUUUUUUAUCUUGUGUUAGUCUGAGGAGUAG